rnacentral:rRNA from 1 species
GACGAACGCUGGCGGUGUGCUUAACACAUGCAAGUCGAACGGUAAGGCCCUUUCGGGGGUACACGAGUGGCGAACGGGUGAGUAACACGUGAGUAACCUGCCCUCAUCUCUGGGAUAACAGUCGGAAACGGUUGCUAAUACUGGAUAUGAGCUUGCAAGGCAUCUUGUGGGUUGGAAAGAUUUUUUUGGUUGGGGAUGGACUCGCGGCCUAUCAGCUUGUUGGUGAGGUAGUGGCUCACCAAGGCUUCGACGGGUAGCCGGCCUGAGAGGGCGACCGGCCACAUUGGGACUGAGAUACGGCCCAAACUCCUACGGGAGGCAGCAGUGGGGAAUAUUGCACAAUGGACGGAAGUCUGAUGCAGCAACGCCGCGUGCGGGAUGACGGCCUUCGGGUUGUAAACCGCCUUCAAUUGAGACGAAGCUUUUUGUGACGGUAGCAGGAGAAGAAGCACCGGCUAACUACGUG